AACUAAAUAGUCUAUAAGGAUAUUAAAUUGCAAAUUUAAAGGUGAAUUUAUUCUUUAGUUU
rnacentral:tRNA from 1 species